AUACGGAGGAUCCGAGCGUUAUCCGGAUUUAUUGGGUUUAAAGGGUGCGCAGGCGGCCAUUUAAGUCAGCGGUUAAAUCGUGGGGCUCAACCCAAUUCUGCCGUUGAUACUGGGUGGCUUGAUUGCGGUCGAGGUUGGCGGAAUUCGUUGUGUAGCGGGGAAAUGCAUAGAUAUGACGAAGAACACCGAUUGCGUAGGCAGCUGACCAGACCGCAAAUGACGCUCAUGCACGAAAGUGCGGGGAUCGAACAGGAUUAGAUACCCUGGUAGUCCGCACAGUAAACGAUGAAUACUUGUUUUCGGCGAUAUAAUGUCGGAGGCAAAGCGAAAGCGAUAAGUAUUCCACCUGGGGAGUACGCCGGCAACGGUGAAACUCAAAUGAAUUGACGGGG
rnacentral:rRNA from 1 species